AUGCUCACUUCAGCAGUACAUGUACUAAAACUGGAACAAUGCAGAGAAGAUUGGCAUGGCCCCUGCCCAAGGAUGACACACAAACUCAUGAAGUGUUCCAUAUUUUU